ACGGUGGUGGUUCAGUGGUAGAAUCCUCACCUUCCAUGCAGGAGACCCAGGUUCAAUUCCUGGCCAGUGCA
rnacentral:tRNA from 1 species